rnacentral:tRNA from 1 species
GGAGAGGUGUCCGAGAGGCCGAAGGAGCACGCUUGGAAAGCGUGUAGGUGGGUAACCCCUGCCUCGCGGGUUCGAAUCCCGCCCUCUCCGCCA